UAUACGACCGUACCGCAAACCGACACUGGUGCGCGAGAUGAGUAUUCUAAGGCGCUUGAGAGAACUCAGGAGAAGGAACUCGGCAAAUUGACACCGUAACUUCGGAAGAAGGUGUGCCCUAUUAGUGUGUAGUGAACAACGAAGCAUGAAUGGGUUGCAAAAAAUCGGUGGCUGCGACUGUUUAUUAAAAACACAGCACUCUGCAAACACGAAAGUGGACGUAUAGGGUGUGACGCCUGCCCGGUGCUGGAAGAUUAAAUGAUGGGGUGCAAGCUCUUGAUUGAAGUCCCAGUAAACGGCGGCCGUAACAAUAACGGUCCUAAGGUAGCGAAAUUCCUUGUCGGGUAAGUUCCGACCUGCACGAAUGGCGUAACGAUGGCCACACUGUCUCCUCCUGAGACUCAGCGAAGUUGAAAUGUUUGUGAUGAUGCAAUCUCCCCGCGGAAAGACGGAAAGACCCCAUGAACCUUUACUGUAGCUUUGUAUUGGACUUUGAACAGAUCUGUGUAGGAUAGGUGGGAGGCUUUGAAGCAGGGUCGCUAGAUCUUGUGGAGCCAACGUUGAAAUACCACCCUGGUGUGUUUGAGGUUCUAACCUAGGUCCAUUAUCUGGAUCGGGGACAGUGCAUGGUAGGCAGUUUGACUGGGGCGGUCUCCUCCCAAAGCGUAACGGAGGAGUUCGAAGGUACGCUAGUUACGGUCGGACAUCGUGACGAUAGUGCAAUGGCAUAAGCGUGCUUAACUGCGAGACUGACAAGUCGAGCAGAUGCGAAAGCAGGACAUAGUGGUCCGGUGGUUCUGUAUGGAAGGGCCAUCGCUCAACGGAUAAAAGGUACUCUGGGGAUAACAGGCUGAUACCGCCCAAGAGUUCAUAUCGACGGCGGUGUUUGGCACCUCGAUGUCGGCUCAUCUCAUCCUGGGGCUGUAGCCGGUCCCAAGGGUAUGGCUGUUCGCCAUUUAAAGAGGUACGUGAGCUGGGUUUAAAACGUCGUGAGACAGUUUGGUCCCUAUCUUCCGUGGGCGCUGCAGAUUUGAGGAAGCCUGCUCCUAGUACGAGAGGACCGGAGUGGACACACCUCUGGUGUAUCGGUUGUCACGCCAGUGGCAUUGCCGAGUAGCUAAGUGUGGAAGAGAUAACCGCUGAAAGCAUCUAAGCGGGAAACUCGUUUCAAGAUGAGAUCUGCCGGGGCCUUGAGCCCCCUAAAGAGUCGUUCAAGACCAGGACGUUGAUAGGUCAGGUGUGGAAGCGAAA
rnacentral:rRNA from 1 species